CCUACGGGAGGCAGCAGUGGGGAAUUUUGGACAAUGGGCGAAAGCCUGAUCCAGCAAUGCCGCGUGCAGGAAGAAGGCCUUCGGGUUGUAAACUGCUUUUGUACGGAACGAAACGGUCUGCUUUAAUACAGUGGGCUAAUGACGGUACCGUAAGAAUAAGCACCGGCUAACUACGUGCCAGCAGCCGCGGUAAUACGUAGGGUGCGAGCGUUAAUCGGAAUUACUGGGCGUAAAGCGUGCGCAGGCGGUUAUAUAAGACAGUUGUGAAAUCCCCGGGCUCAACCUGGGAAUUGCAUCUGUGACUGUAUAGCUAGAGUACGGUAGAGGGGGAUGGAAUUCCGCGUGUAGCAGUGAAAUGCGUAGAUAUGCGGAGGAACACCGAUGGCGAAGGCAAUCCCCUGGACCUGUACUGACGCUCAUGCACGAAAGCGUGGGGAGCAAACAGGAUUAGAUACCCCGGUAGUCCACGCCCUAAACGAUGUCAACUGGUUGUUGGGUGCAUUAGUACUCAGUAACGAAGCUAACGCGUGAAGUUGACCGCCUGGGGAGUACGGCCGCAAGGUUGAAACUCAAAUGAAUUGACGG
rnacentral:rRNA from 1 species